GAUACCAGAGCUAAGUAGAAGCUCUACCAGCUGAGAAGGCAGAGGUGGGGAGUUAGACAUGCAACUUCCAGCAAAGGGAGAAAGUGUUAAAACUUAAAGGAUGAAGCAUGGCUUUGAAGCCAAAGAACUGGGUCCAAAUGGUGCCUCUUACCAACUGAAAAAAAGUGAUAUCAGAAACAGAAGAGUGUUUGGCUGGUGAAGGAAAGAAUGGAGACUGGGGGAUCUGCCAGGUCACUCGGGCAGAUGAAAUGAGGAGCGACUGGGAAAGCAUGAGGUCCUUAGAGCAGAGGAGAAAGAAGAGGUACUUGUGAAGACAGAGAAGGGGAAGCAGUAAGGACCACCUGCCCAGGCACUGAGGACCUCCAAGACCCAAGGCCUGCCGAGGACAACACUGGAGCUGUGCACAAAGGACCUGUUUCUGGCAGGGGCAGUGGCAGUGACUUAAAACUAGUGAGGUAUGACCAUCUCUACCAUAAAUGGACUGACAUUUAUAAAGCUAGGGAUGCUGCUGGACACAGAGGAUGUUGAGCUAGAAGAAUUCUAUUUGACUGGAGCGGAGGUCGAGGUUUGAGACAAACCCCCAGGUACCCCCAGUCCCCGUAACACCUGCCUGACUUUGUUAAGGCCAUCACCCGUCUCUUCAGGGCAGCAGCAGGAUGAAGCAGAGAGAGCCUGGCCCCACCCCAGACCUACCACUGUCAACUGAGGUGAUUCAUGGGUCUUGAGCCUUCAUUGCCUUAUCUCUGUAAUGAGGGGAUACUUCUACUUGGAUGGACUGUGAGGUUAAAUGUCACAGAUGUGACGCAACUAGUGUAAUAACCAGGGACAGGUCGCUGGUUAUUUGUUGACAGGCACCCAACAAAUGUUAACUUCCUUCUUUGACAAAAUGAAGAGUACACUCUCCCCACUGUGGUUUUGUUUU